CAGACCAGGUGAACGGGUCAAUUGGUUAAGAUGCCGGAAUAAUGAUCAGACUGCUAAAAUACUUCUUGCUCCAGUUGCUCUAGGACAGAACUAGGAAUUGUCCCAGUAAUUUUUUUCAAUAAUGUCUCUAUGAAGAGGAGCAUGAUAUUUCACUAUAAACCUACUUUUAUCAGGAUUCAGUCUUCUAGUUCAGAUUUAUUUCUAUUGAUGAAUGAUUUUUUCCUUUCUGAUCUUGUUGUUCAGAGUCAUCUUACAGAGCAAAACUAUACAUGCAGUCUUUUAUUACAAUACCACAGUUGGUGAAAAUGGACUUAGGUUGAAAAUUGCCUCUCUGGGCAGAGAAAGUCAAUUAGAUAUUCUUUACCUGGAUUAUUUUAAUUGAAUUUGACAAGAUGGGAAUUCCAAGGUGAAUUUGGAAAAAGAUACAAGAGAAAUAGCAACCUGUAGAAAUGAAAGAAGGUAUAGGAUUGGAGCAAGUAUAAUAAUGAAUUUUCUCAAAAUUUGCUCUUAAAGUAUUUAAUUCUUACAUAAGCAAUAAUGAAAUUUAAUGUUAAUGCUUUAUCAGAAGCAACUAUUCAUAAAGAGGAGGACUUCUAGUAUCACAUACAGUGAAUUUUGUUGUGACUGGGGAGAAAAAACAGAAAUAGGGUAAAAUUCAGGGUCAUGCAAUGUGGGUCAUACACUAGCAACAAUUCUUUUAAUAAGAUAACAUGGGACUUUAGCAGAUGCAUGCAGGUUAAUCCCAGGUAGUAUAAGUCACUAAUGUAAUGCAGCUGUGAAAAACUGAAAUCUUAGAGUUCAUUUCCAGGAAAAAUAAGGAAGUCUUAAUGCUAUUUACAGGCCCUUGUUGAGAUUUCAUCACAGAUUCAACAUACUGUUCUGAACAGCCAUAUGAAAGAAACGUGUGCUCUGAAAUAUUAGCAAGAAGAGCUACUAGGAUGGCAUGGACAGUAAAAAGAAGAAUGUGAAGGCAUAGCUUUUUUAGCCCAUAGAAUGAAACCUGGGAAAUGAAUAAUUAUUUUCUAUAGAUGAAUUUGCAGCCAGAGACUAGGAAGAGAGAACUGCAUAAGCUAAGAGACAGUACUGGCACUACAGAAAAGAAAAAAAAAAUACAUAAAUUGUCUGCAGAUAAGUGUGGGCUGUAUAUUUAAAGUUUUCUGGUUGUCGGAACAGCUUUUCCAUAAGAAUCCCAAGGUUUAAGAGGGUUUAAAGAGGUUAAUAGUUAUGUGGCAGGGAUGUGAUCAUCAGCCCAUUAAAUUAUAUUUUUCUGUAUACUUAAAGCAGUUAUUAAUGAGUACAUUACUCAGUUAUUCUUUUAGAGACAGUAUAGUGUUGCCAGUUUCUCACCUCUCCUUUCCUUACUCUCUCAGCACAAGGCUUUCAGCCUUGGCCUUUUUAACAUGCUUUUCCCCUUUUAGUUAUACUUCCAAGACCCCCCAGAGAAGCACCUCCAUCUCAAUCCCACCCUAUUAAUUUCCUUAGCACUACUGCCACAUACCCAGCUCCCCGAUCUUCCUUGGGUAUGUCUGUUAGUGAAGCAAACAACUUAUCUUCCUCCUUGGAGCAGCACAAGUGCCGACCUAAUCUCUGCUGCUGCCUGAAGUUCUGCUGAGCACAUGGUAAAGCAGCUGCUUCCCAGAGGGGAGGCGCCACACAGGCAUGUUACCAUGAGUCAGCUGCUUUGGGGCAGGGCUAUUUUAGAAGUAUGAGUACUACGUCUGCUAUCAUUGGGGGUUUUCAUAAUGUGUUGCCUCAGCUGCUUUUCAUCCAUGAACUGAUAGGCUACCAAGGUCAUAAAAUGCAAAUUUUGAUCAGUUGAAGGUAAAAUGUUGACAGAACUACAUUUUUUUAAAUAUCUAUUUGAUCUUUUUUCUGUUCACCCUUAUUUAAACCUGUUUGGAGCUUCCGUUCAUUCAAGAUGCUAUUUUAUGUUACUAGCUUGCGAAACUUAGAAACUGAAAAAGAGAUCAACUAAUUCUGUUUUGGUGUAAGAACUUGGCAAAUGAGUUUUUAGUCGUGGUAUUCUACAACCAGACAGCAAAGUGAAGUAUCGUCUUUUAGUUGGCUGGUUUUCGGUUUAUAGUAUAUAAAAUAUAUAAUAUAGAUAAUAAGAACCAACAUUUAUAUAU